rnacentral:rRNA from 1 species
UACGGGGGGGGCAAGCGUUGUUCGGAAUUACUGGGCGUAAAGGGCUCGUAGGCGGCCAACUAAGUCAGACGUGAAAUCCCUCGGCUUAACCGGGGAACUGCGUCUGAUACUGGAUGGCUAGAGGUUGGGAGAGGGAUGCGGAAUUCCAGGUGUAGCGGUGAAAUGCGUAGAUAUCUGGAGGAACACCGGUGGCGAAGGCGGCAUCCUGGACCGACACUGACGCUCAUGCACGAAAGCGUGGGGAGCAAACAGG